UUUUUUUUUUUUGGCCUGGCCGACCUUCUUGCAUCAACCUGCUGUACCCCAGGGCCACAACGAACGCCCACUCGGAUCGCCAUCUCUACUUCGGAAUGAGACAGAUACCACUAAAGGCCCAUCUUUAAUUGUGACGCAGGCGGAAGAGAGCGGCAAGCAGCAUGGGAACGAUGAAAAAGGUUUCCUACACCCUACUUCAGCAAGAGUGGAUAAGUCUGCUGCCCUGAUGGAGGGGAGAGUGGAGCUGAAGGAGUGAGUAGAAGAGCUUGAGCACAAGUGCAUCCAAGGAGAGACAGGCUGUGCUGUCUGCUGCCCUGAUGGAGGGGAGAGUGGAGCUGAAGGAGUGAGUAGAAGAGCUUGAGCACAAGUGCAUCCAAGGAGAGACAGGCCGUGCUGUCUGCUGCCCUGAUGGAGGGGAGAGUGGAGCUGAAGGAGUGAGUAGAAGAGCUUGAGCACAAGUGCAUCCAAGGAGAGACAGGCCGUGCUGUCUGCUGCCCUGAUGGAGGGGAGAGUGGAGCUGAAGGAGUGAGUAGAAGAGCUUGAGCACAAGUGCAUCCAAGGAGAGACAGGCGGU